rnacentral:rRNA from 1 species
AGUCACUGACAUUAGAUACCCGGGUAGUCCCAGCCGUAAACAAUGUGCGUUUAGGUGUGUGGUAACCACGCGUUACUGAUGCGCCGAAGAGAAACCGUGAAACGUGCCGCCUGGGAAGUACGGUCGCAAGGCUGAAACUUAAAGGAAUUGGCGGGGGAGCACCACAACAGGUGGAGCCUGCGGUUUAAUUGGACUCAACGCCGGGAAGCUCACCGGAUAGGACAGCAGAAUGAUUGCCGGGCUGAAGACCCUGCAUGACUAGCUG